rnacentral:rRNA from 1 species
UCCAGACUCCUACGGGAGGCAGCAGUGGGGAAUAUUGCACAAUGGGGGAAACCCUGAUGCAGCGACGCCGCGUGAGUGAAGAAGUAUUUCGGUAUGUAAAGCUCUAUCAGCAGGGAAGAAAAUGACGGUACCUGACUAAGAAGCCCCGGCUAACUACGUGCCAGCAGCCGCGGUAAUACGUAGGGGGCAAGCGUUAUCCGGAUUUACUGGGUGUAAAGGGAGCGUAGACGGCAAGGCAAGUCUGGAGUGAAAGCCCGUGGCUCAACCACGGGACUGCUUUGGAAACUGUGUUGCUGGAGUGCAGGAGGGGUAAGCGGAAUUCCUAGUGUAGCGGUGAAAUGCGUAGAUAUCAGGAGGAACACCGGUGGCGAAGGCGGCCUGCUGGACUGCAACUGACGUUGAGGCCCGAAAGCGUGGGGAGCAAACAGGAUUAGAUACCCGAGUA